AUUUUGGACAAUGGGCGAAAGCCUGAUCCAGCAAUGCCGCGUGAGUGAAUAAGGCCUUCGGGUUGUAAAGCUCUUUUGUCAGGGUAGAAACGGUGAGGGCUAUUAUCCCAUGCUAAUGACGGUACCUGAAGAAUAAGCACCGGCUAACUACGUGCCAGCAGCCGCGGUAAUACGUAGGGUGCAAGCGUGAAUCGGAAUUACUGGGUGUAAAGCGUGCGCAGGCGGUUUUGUAAGUCUGAUGUGAAAUCCCCGGGCUCAACCUGGGAAUUGCAUUGGAGACUGCAAGGCUAGAAUCUGGCAGAGGGGGGUAGAAUUCCACGUGUAGCAGUGAAAUGCGUAGAUAUGUGGAGGAACACCGAUGGCGAAGGCAGCCCCCUGGGUCAAGAUUGACGCUCAUGCACGAAAGCGUGGGGAGCAAACA
rnacentral:rRNA from 1 species